CUUUGUGCUGCUUGUCUCUUUUUCCUGGAAUCCUGCAGACCCCAAUAGGUGACACUCCCCGCCCGCCUCUUCAGCCCUUCGGGAGCUUGGCCACGACCACAUUUCUUUUCUGCCAGCAUGUAGGGAGGAGUAGAGAAUCUCUGCCGCCCCCAAACUAUUUUAGGACCAAAAAGAACUUGGAAUUCGGGGUGCGUGAGGCCCCGGGCCCCCUUUUCUUUCAACCCCAAACCCCAGAGACCAGAGAGCCCUAAGCUGAGCUAGAGGAGCACAGGCAGCGCUGGCCCUCUGAGCCAUUGGGUAGGCCCAUACUGGGUGUGGAGGAAUGAAGGUGAACUUCCGGGGAACGAGAGAGGGGAAGAGGCGGAGCUCUGUAAGGAGGCGGGGAGACGUGGAGGGUCAGCCCAGGGGACGGGGCAGGGCCUCUGGAAAGCAGGAAGUGACGAUCUCCCCGAGUCCUACCUCCUCCUCCAAUUCCAAAGAUAUUCCUACCUUGGUUCCUAAGCGGGUCUUUUAACUUCCUGCGCCCAGCGCCUGUAGCCUCGGGAGCCUGGAGUGCCAGGGAUGGCCUUGGAGAGGGACAGACUGCCAGGCCAGGAGGUGGUAACGUUCAAGGAUGUGGCUGUGGACUUCACCUGGGAGGAGUGGUGCCUCUUGUCCCCUCCCCAGAAGUUGCUGUACAAGGAGGUGAUGCUGGAGAAUACCAGGACCCUGCUCUCUGUGGGACUUCCAGCUCCCCCAGAAGACAUGAUCUCUUAUUUGGAGCAGAGGGAAGCCCCGUGGAUGCUGGAUCAAGAAGACCUGAGGAGGUGCUACCCAGAAGGAAAGCUCACACCCAAAUUGAAGAUGAAUCCAACAGAGAUGAGCCUUCCUGUGGAAGAAAUGGACCUACAAAGAUUCAUGAGUGAUGGUCCUGGUAAUGUUGCUUUCAGAGAAUUCUCUGUUGUAUUUCAAAAUUCAUCUCAUAUUGAAAAACAAAGAAUGCACACUGAGGAAAAAUCUAGUGUAAAUAAUCAUUGUGGAAAGACUUUUAUACACAGAGCCAAUAUUUGUGGACAUCAGAGCAUCCACACUGGUGAGAAACUUUGUGGAUGCAAGCAAUGCGGAAAGACAUUCAGUCAAAGAUCCCAUCUUGAUGUACAUCAGAGAGUCCACCCCGGUGAGAAGCCUUGUGAAUGCAAACAGUGUGGAAAGACAUUCAGUUGGAGCUCCAAACUUGCUAUACAUCAGAAAGUCCAUAAUGGGGGAAAACCUUAUGAAUACAAGCAGUGUGGAAAGACAUUCACAGAUAGCUACAAUCUGGCUGUACAUCAAAGAAUCCACACUGUGGAGAAACCUUAUAAAUGCAAACAGUGUGGAAAGACAUUCACAAAUAUCUCUAGUCUUUCUGUACAUCAGAGAAUCCACACCGGGGAGAAACCUUAUGAAUGCAAACACUGUGGAAAGACAUUCAUAAAUACCUACAGUCUUGCUGUACAUCAGAGAAUCCACACUGGGGAGAAACCUUAUGAAUGUAAGCAGUGUGGAAAGGCAUUCAGACAGAGCUCCAAACUUGCUGUACAUCAGAGAUACCACACUGGGGAGAAACCUUAUGAAUGUAACCAGUGUGGAAAGACAUUCAAAAAUAGCUACAAUCUGUCUGUACACCAAAGAAUCCACACUGGGGAGAAACCUUAUAAAUGCAAACAGUGUGGAAUGACAUUCACAAAUACUUCCAGUCUUGCUAUACAUCAGAGAGUCCACACUGGGGAAAAACCUUAUGAAUGUAAGCAGUGUGGAAAGAUGUUCGCAAAAAGCUACAAUCUGGCUGUACAUCAAAGAACCCACACUGGGGAGAAACCUUAUAAAUGCAAACAGUGUGGAAAGACAUUCACAAAUACCUCUAGUCUUGGCGUACAUCAGAGAGUCCACACUGGGGAGAAACCUUAUGAAUGUAAGCAGUGUGGAAAGGCAUUCAGACAGAGCUCCAAACUUGCAGUACAUCAGAGAGUCCACACUGGGGAGAAACCUUAUGAAUGUAAGCAGUGUGGAAAGAUGUUCACAAGUAGUUACAAUCUGUCAGUACAUCAAAGAAUCCACACUGGGGAUAAACCUUAUAAAUGCAAACAGUGUGGAAAGACAUUCACAAAUACCUCCAGUCUUGUCGUACAUCAGAGAGUCCACACUGGGGAGAGACCUUAUGAAUGCAAGCAGUGUGGAAAGACUUUCAGACAGAGCUUCAAACUUACUGUACAUCAGAGAGCCCACACUGGGAAGAAACCUUAAGAUUACAAGCUACAUGGAAAGAUGUUCUCAUGCAGUUCUAGUCUUGCACCUGGCAUUAGCCUACACUUGGCCUAGAGGUGAGGAUUGAGUGAUGGAAACCACUGAGUGAGGAUAGAAUGGCAGUUGGGAAAAGUCAACAAUAAAGUUGAAAUCAUGAGUCCAGGGCAGAGUGAUGUCUCCUACACAGCCCCCUGGACUGUGGCUCCUAAGAAGAUGUUUGUGAGUUAGUGGGCAAAGAAAAGGUUUUGAUGAACUGAUGAACUCCUUCCUGCUGGGCCCUUUUUGUCCUCCCAUCCCAGGCAGGAAGAGCAGCCCUUCCCAGCUCUCUCCUGAUCUUUGGCAGUGAUUCCUCGGCUCUGGGGCCCCCUCAGCCCUCCAGAGCUCCCCCAGGUGCUGCCUCCCAGGUCUGAUAUCUGCCCAUUACAGGACUUCCAGCUCCCCCAGAAGACAUGAUCACUUAUUUGGAGCAGAGGGAAGCCCCGUGGAUGCUGGAUCAAGAAGACCUGAGGAGGUCCUACCCAGAAGGAGAGCUCAGACCCCAAAUGAAGAUGAAUCCAGCUGAGGAGAGCCUUCCUAUAGAAGAAAUGGACCUACGAAGAUCCAUGAGUGAUGGCCAUGGUAAUGUUGAUUUCAGAGAAUUCUCUGUUGUACCUCAAAAUUCAUCUCAUAUUGAACAUCAAAGAAUGCACACUGAGGAAAAAUCUAUUGUAAGUAAUCAUUGUGGAAAAACUUGUAUACACACGGCCAGUAUUUGUGGAUAUCAGUGCAUCCACACUUGUGAGAGACUUUAUGAAUGCAAGCAAUAUGGAAAGGUAUUCAGUCGGAGGUACCAUCUUGGUGUAUAUGAGAGACUACACUGGAGAGAAAUCUUAUGAAUGCAUUCAGUGUGGAAAAACUUUCACAGAUAAUUCUAAUAUCAGAAUCCACAUCACAUCAGAGAAUCCACACUGGGGAGAAACUAUGAAUGCAAGCAAUGUGGAAAGACAUUUAGUCAGUGAUCUCAUCUUGCUGUACAUCAGAGAAUCUACACUGGGGAGAAACCUUAAGAUUGCAGCAAUGUGGAAAGACAUUCAGUCAGUGAUCUCAUCUUGCUGUACAUCAGAGAAUCCACACUCUGGAGAAACCUUAAGAUUACAAGCUACAUAGAAAGAUGUUCUCAUGCAGUUCUAGUCUUGCACCUGGCUUUAGCCUGAACUUGACCCAGAGGUGAGGAUUGAGUGAUGGAAACCAUUGAGUGAGGAUAGAAUGGCAGUUGGGAAAAGGCACCAAUAAAGUUGAAAUCAUAAGGCGAGGGCAGAGUGAUGUCUCCAGCCCUGCUCCCUGGACUGUGGCUCCUAAGAUGAAAUUUGUCAGUUAGUGGGCAAAGAAAAGGUUUUGAUGAACUGAGACAAGAGCAGAUACCCAAGCUCAUCUUGUAAAUUUUAGAUUUACUCCACCCUGUUUAGUCUUUAGAAUUUUAGCAACCAAAAAUGUAUACACCCCCACUUAAGUAUUAACUGUAGGGGAGGAAGGUCUAUGACCCAGGUAUGCUAGCAAGUGACAAGUCAGAAGCAAAUGACUGACCCCCUUGGCUGUCCAAAGACAAGAUUAAACCACCAUUGGUACAUGUGAGACACAUGAAUUGAUGUAAAGAACUGCCUUUAUAUUUCACGUCACUUCCUGUGAGAGCAGCUUGGCAAUUUAACUUAGCUUGGAGGAUCUGUAGCAUGAGACCUCAAGACUGCAUCUCUUAGACUGUCACAUGGUGAAUGCAAGGCUGAAUCCCCUUUCCAAGGCUUUCUAAAGGCACCAGCCUCCAAGGAGGCCCCUGAUCUUGGAGGAGGCCUCGUGGCUGGAAGCCAAGCUAGAUUUAAUAUUCUGGGAAGGCCCCUUGGCUGAGGCCUCUGAACUCCCCCUGGCUCAGACCAAGCCAAAGCAGAUUUUCCCCUUUCUCUCUCUCUCUCCCUCAUUCUUAAUUUCUUCCUUCUAUUGUAAAUAAACCACCAUAAAAUUCCGUUCUGACUUUAGUAUUUCGUUGGGAUUUAGAAUUUAAAUCCCUGGUGACCAGUAAAAUUACAUUGAUUCUCAACCCUAAAAAAUAACCCAUAACAACAAUCUCUUUCUGUUUUGUUCCAUAAUAGAAAAAUAUGUGUUGUUUUUAUAAAAAUGUUAGCAUGUAUCAUAUUUAAAAUAGGAUUUCCAAGAAUUUAUUCCAGGAAUUAUUCCAAAGAGAAUAAUUUAUAAUUUAGUUACAAAAUAUAGACAGAGUGAAGUAAGAAAAUCAGAGAGAGGUUAGGGUAUGAUAGCUAGCCUAAACAGUUCAGUCCUUAACCAGAGAGUCCUCUGCCCUGGUAGCUGAGGACCUGGAGCAGUCUCUCUCAUGAACUAGGUCUCUCCUGAGGCUAGUUUCUUCAGAAAUUCCAGGAAAAUAAUCAGCUUUUUCACUCACAAUAUGUCAGUCCAAAAGAACAAGAUUUAAGAACAGUCUCUAGGAACAGCGUCUCAGGUCCAAUCAGCAGAUUCUUCAUCAGUCUCAACUCCAAAAAAUGAAGAACUCACUCUCACCGGAAGUUCAACUCUGAGUAGAACUGCACUCAAAAAGUUUUCACUCUUUAUAAAAGACACUUUCUUUUGCCCCACUUCGUGUGCCUUUCCCUAAUUUUACAUCUACCAGUCACAGUUGAAGCUUUGCUUUAGACUGUGUGACAAGGGAAUCACUUUAAAAAAAACUGAUAUAUAUUAAUUUAAGGUCGCCAAGGAAUUCAGCUAUGUAAUUCCUAAAUGAAAACUCAAGUCAGCCGUCAACCUUUUAUGGAGUUUAAUUUCAAUAGGAGGAAGAAAGGAAUUAGAGAUAGAGAGAGAGAAAAAGGGAGAGAAGGGAAUAGGGCUUAAAUACCCCUUCUGUUUAGGCUGGGCCAAAAGGCCCAAGCCCUUAGAUAGCUGGGGCAAAGAAAAGAGAUCAGUCCCUAUUACUCACGUGACCAAAAUGGAGAAACAGUCUCAGAGGCCCCCACCUUCAGCUUCCUUCAGAGCAAGCUUCUCAGAGUACACUGCCACCACUCCGACCAACUUCUCAACCACCCCGAGUCUUCAGACUCCCCUAUCUUUAAGGAAACCAUCCAAGUUCCCUCCCCUCAGUCCUCACAUCUACCAAUCACUGUCCAUGUCUUCCCUGUGCCAAUGGAGGCUCUAGCUUAACCCAGGACCGCCCAGAGGUCUCUGGCUUUUGCACAUGUCUGUUGAAGGUCAUAUUUUCAAAUAAUUAAAUCUUUGAUCCUUUGCUACAGCCCUUUCUAAAUCCUGUUAACCUGAGUAGGGUAGAGAUUGGAAUAAUUAAAUUUUGAUCUAGGCUGCAGCCCUUACUCAAUCCUGUUAGGACUGAAUAGGGUGGAGAUUGAUUCCAAGUAUCUCCAUUGUAUCAAUUCUAAAAUCAAUCAUGACUCAAAGAAAUUCCUGUUCUAUGCUUAAGCAUAGGUCAGAGUCCUUUCCAUUGUUCAGCAAAAGGUUUCUGUCCUAAAGUAAUCUUAAGAAGGGAAGGAGAAGGAACCUCCCAUGCCAAUGGGAUUCACAUUCCAAAAGUCAAGACCCACUAUCAAUAGGAAAUUUUUCAAGUAUGAAAUUUCCCAAUGGUGAAAUUUCCAACAUUUAUAAGUCUAAGAAAUUUUGAGGUUUACAACUGCCCAGGGACAGUCAGUUUAAUUCUGAUUUGUUUCCCACUAUUGUGCACAUGGGUCACAGACUUACCACUAAAUGAUUAAGUGGCAUGUUUACACUUUUGGUGAUUAGAUCUAAAAAUGGGCAGAUCUCCCCACUCAACUUUAAGUAGGGUAUUUGUACUUUUGGUGAUUAAAUAAAAAAAUGGGCAGGGGACAUAAUUUAAUUUUCACAAUCAGGGGAGAGUUAAAUUUAAUCUUCACAGUUGCUUGACUGAACUUCUCUGUGAGCAAGGCUAGAGCACCCUAAUGGUGGCCACCAAAUAGCAAGUUAAUUUGAGCAGUGAGGAAUGUAUAACUCUCCUAUUUUCCAACUUUUCUGCCUACUACCUUUUAAUAAAUAAAAUUAAUUUAGGACCAGUCUCAUAAUUUUUUCUUUUAUACUUUUCAUCACAGAAACCACACAUUCACACUGAGAUCUCAGUUUGCUCAAAAUCAGACAAUUCACUCUACUAUGUUGUAAGCUCUCCUAAGAUUAGGCCCAAAUGGGCAUAUGAUUUAGACUUAAAGUGUGAUCGUGUAAACAAAUUAGAGGAGCAUAGAAUAGUUUACUUUUCAGAUCAAUUUAUUGAUGAGGGAAAAAAUUAUGACUAAGAAAUAGAUAACAUUAUAAGGUAUAAAAUAGGUCAUUUUGUUAUAUCAAAUUCAAAACUGUACAAACAAAACGAAUGUGACCAAGAUUAAAAGUUGAAACAAGAAAUUAUCAUUUGCUUUGCAACAUGUCCAAUUAAAUACUUAGUUUUUAAAAAUUCUAACCCUGUUCUCUAAUGCCUUAAUCAAUUCAUGGCAUCUAGAUCUAAAGAGUAAUUAAUUUAGUAAGAGAAUAACAUCUUUGUUCUAUAGGAAUAAUUUGUAAUUAGCAUCAUUUCCUAUAUAAGGUUUCCCCCAAAAUUCUUACAAAACAAAAAUUAAAAGAUAACAAAUGAUAUUGUAGAUCUCAAAUAUGAAAUAAAAUUAUUGACAUUCCAAUGAUUUCUAUUCAGUUGAAUGCAUUAUCAAAAUAAUUAUCUUAUAUAGGAAAUCACCGUGCAUCUAUCAGCUUGACACUGUGGACUGAUUGCAUUGAGAAGCCAGUGUAACAUAACUGAUAUAAUUUCUACAAUUUCUAAACCUAUCACAUAUUAAAUAUAUAAUAAAUAAUAAAAAUACAAAUAAGGCCCAUUUUGUAUUAAGGUAUGUACAACAUAUAUCGCUAAAAUUUAUCACACCGGUACAGGACUCUAAGCUUAAUAUGUUUGUUAGAAGGAAGCCAGACUCCCCAAAAAGCUGGACCCUGCUGAAAUCCAGAGCAGGGACCCUGAACCUUAGGAGAUAGACUUUUUUAUGACAAGAAAUCUUAUGACACAGUGACAGAAAAUAUAGUCACAAUGAAAAUAGAAUGGAUGCAAAGUCAUUUAUAUGGGUAUUUUCUUGAUGACACAAGUGUGAUUAAUCUGCUAAGUAAAAAAUAUCACUCUGGGUGAUAAGUUUGCUGUACUCAGGGUCUUGGUGUUUUCACUGAUGAUCAUAGUAGAAUAGUAGAAGUCAACAGUUUUGGUUAAAUAAUAUGUGAAAACGAGUAGCCCUUCACCUCCUGCAUCACUUGUCUUUUUUGACAAACAAGACCAUCCUUCCUCUUUUUGUUGGACCAUCUUGUUAUACACCCAAGACAGGUGUGGUAGGAUUUAUGGAAUCUCCUGGCUUUCAGGCUUAAGUUAGUUGGGAUGUAAAUAAGAUUUGAUAGUACCCCAAACUGUAAUUAUCUUAGCUAAUGUUUAUGAUUCUUAUAAACUAAAUUAUAUUAUUUGACUAUGAACUCAUAAUGAAUGAUUGUGUUAUGAAAAUAAUCAUAAAGGCUAAUACUAUUAUAAUAAUAAAAGGGUAUGUAUAAAAGUUUCACACUAACACAUACAAGGUCAAAUAUAAUUAUCCUAAUAGGAAAACAAGUGUGAAUUAAGGUGCUACUACAUUAUCAUGUAUUUUAAAAUAGUUCCAUCAAAUCUAGAUUCAUCCUUGUAAAUGGUACCCUACAGAAUCUUUUCUCAAGAGGCAUUUGCUGCCAGUACCUCAAAUGAUAGGGACCUCUACUUUCAGAUUAGUCUGCUGCCAGGGUUUAUAGAUAUCUACCUGUUCUGUAAGAGGGUCUGAGUCCUGGACAUGAAGGAGGGAAAGAAGCAGGUGUUGAAGAGUCGGGGAAAGCGGAGGCUCAGAGGUGAGCAUGGCUAGUGGCCCAGGUAAAAUUUAAGCCAUGUGUCAGCAUUGAAUGCCCAAGGGAGAACUAGAUCUAGGAUUCUCAGAAGGAAACAAGGAAGCUCUAAGAGUUUAGGGACAAAGAGAAACUCAGAAAGUGAGAUGCUACCUGAGAAGACUGAAUCCAAGAGGUCAAGGUGAACAUAGAGGACAUAUUACAAACAGUGGAGACAACUAAGGGAAAGUUAUAAGAUGGAGGGUCUUGACCAAUAAUCAUCCAGGAGGCCAUUAUCACUUUGUCAGAGACAGAGUAGAGAGGAAUUCUUUUGGGAGAAACACCCAAGUUUGUAGACGAAUCUCAGCCCAAGAAUGGGAGACUCAGAUUCUAUUCAAUUUGUAAGAAAAAAAAAUUUUUUAAGAUGUAGGAUAUGGUUUUAUAAUAAAUGAUGGAAUAGUCUGGAGUCUAAUCAGGUAGCCUGAGGGCUGAGGGACAAGUCCAGCGGGUAGUAGAGUAACCUCUUUGCAACUGAUUGUAUAGAGUAGCAGCCACAACUUUAGAAUAGCAUCUUCCCAGCUCUGUGGAUUAGGGUUGGAAUAUUUAUUAAGGCCAGGGAGCUUGUCAUCUCCCAUCCUAGAGAAAUCUUUACCUUUCCUGAAAACCCUGGAAGGGGAGCAUGGCCAAAUUCAGGUGCAGGUGUGUUUUAUGGUGUGAUGUCAUAGGGAAUAAGGAGUCUGUGCAAAUUUGGGAGAUUCCUCUAGAAUGCCACUUUGGGAGCCAAGCCAGUGGUCUCUCAGAGGGUAAGGGUCCUCUGCCUAAUAUGAUGGUCCAUUCGAAUAAUGGAGUGAGAGAUACUGUAUGCUCAAUCCCACAGACAUGACAUGAUGAGUAGGCAUCACACAGUGUUCUGCCAUGGCAUGGAGGUUCGUUUAUUAUAUAGGUUUCAGUGAGUACAUACUUCUUUGGCACACAAUGAAUUUUCUACAUACACGUUUCCAUGGGACUUAAUAACAGAUGCAAAGUCUAAGGGGAUAGUCAGUGAAACAUUGUUGCUACAACAGAUGGAGAUAAAUGAUAUGUGAAGGGUGAUUUGGAGGUUAAUCCUUCUUGACCUAAGGAGAAUCAUUUUUACUUUUGGUCAGCUUUCACAAUCAAUCACAAUUACUGUGAUUUUUAGAUUUUCUCCAUCUUGCUUGGUCUAGCACCCAGGAAUGUGCACACCCACACUACACGGGCAUGUGCUAGCAAAUGACUAAUCAGAAACAACUGACUGCCCCCUUGGGCUGUCUUAAGCCAAGCUUGAGACACCAUUGGCACAUGUGAGAUGCAGGAAGUGAGGGAGAGAACUGCUUCUAGAGUUCUUGUCACUUCCUGUGGAGAGGGCUAGAUGCCAGUUCGAUCUUGGAACUCGAGCUUGGAGGAGCCCCACAGACAGCUUUCCUUCAAUCGGUCACAUGGGUGAGUGAUAAGGACGAACUCCCCUUUCCCUUGGCUCUCAGGCUAAAACCCUUGAACUCCUGCCUCCAGCUCAGCCUGAGUCAGAGCAGUUGAGUUAACUCUCUCUCCCUCUCUCUCUCUCUCUCUCUCUCUCUCUCUCUCUCUCUCUCUCUCUCUCUCACACACACACACACACACACACAAUUUCUUCCUCCUAUUGUAAUUAAAUCACCAUAAACUCCAUUCUGAUUUGAGUGUUUCAUUUUAGGAUUUUAAGGAAUUAAAAUCCUUGGCGACCAAUAAUAUUUAUAUUUCAGUCUCAACUAUAAUUUUAACCUUUACAUUACUUAGGAGAGGACUAACAAAACAUUUUGUAGCUAAGUGCAGGGUUAGAGGGUAAUUUAAUGACAGACCAGACUUGAGGUUUUCCUCAAUUUAUAAGUUCUAUUUUUCUUGUGUUACUUUAAAGCGCCUGGCAAUGUUGCCUGGUUUCUGUCUGCAGUGGAGUGUGUCUUGAAGGUGAUUGAUGUUCUUGGCUUGCCUGGCUUGUAACGGGAGUGAAUGUAACUCUGUGGAGAGGGAAAGGAGGGGGGUAAUGGGUAGUGCUCUUUAGGUUUUCAUUCUGUGAAUGUAAUCUUUUAGGAUAAUAAUCCUGGGGGAUUAAGGUGGCAUAUAUGUUUAUUGUAUAAGUCUUUGCUCUUAUAUUAUUUCUUUUGUAUUGAAGAGAGAACAAUAAUCAUUCAUUAGUGAAAGAAGUUAAUAUGAGAGAAGUUACAGAGGGAGAUCAGUGGGAGCCUCAUUUUCUGGGGGCUGUACUGUGAUUUUGUCAGCCAGUGGGGUUUGACAGCUUCCAACGAUGCCAGAGUCCCUAGGGCACAGGCCCCUUUUUCUGCAUUGUCCAUCAUGUCAUCAUUGGUCAGGGGACUUCUGCUGGCUCCCCAUUCCUUUGAGCCUCAUUCUCUACUUCUUACCUCAUUGCCACCAUCUUCUGAGGCAAUCUGGAACAUGGCUUUCUCCUAGAACUAGCUACUGUCUAUCCAAACUAACAGUCACAUCUCAAAAGUCAUAGGGCACCAUCCCCAAUUUACCAUUGAAUCACACUUUCCCUUCACACAUCCCCUAUUUUCUUAGGAAGGAGUUUUACCAAAUUCCUUUUGUGACACAAAUAUGGUACUGAUUCCAAAACCAGGCAGACCAAAAACCAAGAAAGAAAACUACAGACCAAUUUCCUUAAUGAACAUAGUUGUAAAAAUCUUAAGUAAAAAGACUCCAGUAAGUGAUCAUGAGGAUUAUCCACUAUGAUCAGCUGGGAUUUAUACCAGCAAUUCCAGGAUGGUUUAAUACUAGAAAAACCACAUAAUAGACCAUAUCAAUAAUCAAUACAACAGAAAUCACAAGAUUAUACCAAUAGGUGGAGAAAAAGCUUUUGACAAAAUACAACACUCAUUCCUAUUGAAAACACUAGAAAGUAUAGGAAUAGAAGGGCCUUUCCUUAAAAUAAUAAACAGUUUAUAUUUAAACCAUCAGCAAGUAUCAUCUGCAAUGAGGACAAGUUAGAAGUCUUUUAAGUAAAAUCAGGAGUGAAGCAAGGAUGCCCAUUAUCACCUCUUUUAUUCAAAAUUUACUAAAAACACUAGCAGUAGCAAUUAGAGAAGAAAAAGAAAUUGAAGGAAUUAAAGUGAGCAAUGAGGAGACUAAACUACCACUCUUUGCAGAUGAUAUGAUGAUAUAUUUUAUAUUUAAAGAACUCCAGAAUAUCAACUAAAAGGCUAGUGGAAAUAAUUAACAACUUUAUUAAAUUUGCAAGAUACAAGAUAAACACAUAACUCAUCAGCAUUUCUCUAUAUAUUUUCAACAAAACUCAGCAGCAGAAGAUAGAAAGAGAAACUCCACUUAAAAUCACUCUAGACAAUAUAAAAUAUUUAGGAAUCUAUCUUCCAAGUCAAACAGAAAUUAUAUGAACAUAAAUACAAAAUGCUUCACACAAUUAAAACUAGACAUAAACAAUUGGAAAAACAUGAAUAACUCCUGUGUAGGAUCAGCUAGUAUAAUAAAAAUUACAAACCUACCUAAAUUAAUAUACUUAUUCAGUUCCAUACCUAUUAAAGUACCGAAAAAAACUUUUUUAUAGAAUUAGAAAAAGAUUAUUAAAAAGUUCAUUUAGAAGAACAAAAGAUCAAGACUAUCAAGGAAAAUAAUGAAAAAAAAAAAGUGAAGGAAUGGAGCCUAGCAGUACCAGAUAUUAAACUGUACUAUUGUAUAAUUAAAAAUCUGUUACCCUAAAAAGGAACUACAUAUUCUGAGAGCCCACUGAAUUCCUGUCAUUAUGUACUUCCUGUAAACAGAGGAUAAACUCAGUGGGAGUUGAGGCUCCUCCUCUCUUUGGCAUGCAGCCAGCAGUGAUGGUGCUGAGUGGGGAUUUUUAAAAUGGCUAACCAGCCAGGGGCACAUGGUUUUUAUUUUGUAUCCUCUUUAUUCCUUGAUUUCUAAUGAUCUUUAAUAAAUUGCCUAAAAUAGAUUAUUUUUAUUAUUGCACAUUAAUUUUAAUUUUUACACUAUAAAUCAGUGGUCAUCAAAACAAUAUGGUAUCAACUUACCGAAAAGUCUAUUCCCCAGUUGACAAAUGGUCAAGGGAUAUGAGUAGGCAGUUUUCAUAUGAUGAAAUCAAAACUAUCAAUAAUCACAUGAAAAAGUGUUCUAAAUCCAUUCUGAUUAGAGAAAUGGAAAUUAAGACGACUCUGAAGUACCACCUCACACUUAGCAGAUUGGCCAAUAUGACAGCAAAGGAAAGCAAUAAAUGUUUGAGGGGAUGUGGUAAUAUUGGGAUACUAAUACAUUGCUGGUGGAGUUGUGACUUGGUCCAACCAUUCUCGAGGGCAAUUUGUAAUUAUGCACAAAGGGCUUUAAAAGACUUUCUGCCCUUUGUUCCAGCCAUCGCGCUCCUGGGUUUGUACUCCAAAGAGAUAGUAAGUAAAAAAACUUUUGCAAAAAUAUUUAUAGCCACACUCUGGUGGCAAAAAAUUAGAAAAUGAUUCCCUUCGAGUGGGAAAUGGCUAAACACACUGUUGUAUCUUCUGGUAAUGGAAUUAUAUUGUGACAAAAGGAAUAAUGAACUGGAGGAAUUCCAUGGGAACUGGAACAACCUCCAGGAAAUGAUGCAGAAUGAAAGGAGCAUAACCAGGAGAACCAUAUACCCAGAGACAGAUACACUGUAGCAUAAUCAAAUAUUUUCUUAGGGAGGAAUUUUACCAAAUUCCUUCUACUAGCAACAAUGCAAUGAUCCAAGACAUUUUGGAGGGACCUAUGAGAAAGAAUGCUAUUCAUAUCCAGAGAAAGAACUGUGGGAGCAGAAGCACAGAAGAAAAACCAAGAUCUUGAUCACAUGAGUUGAUGAGGAAAUGAUUGGGGAUGUAGACACUAAACAAUAAUUCUGGUGCAAAUAUCAAUAAUAUGCCAUAGAUUUUGAAAGGAUGUCUCAUCAUUAUCAUUUUCUUCAAUGAAAUUAUUCAUUGUUUCUAUGAUUUGUUCUUUAACUAACCUAUUUUGGAGAAUUGUAUUGUUUAAUUUCCAAUUAAUUUUUGAUUUGCCUCUCCAUGUACCCUUACUAAUGAUUAUUUUCAUCAUGUUGUGGUCUGAGAAGGUUGCACUUGUUUGCAAUGUUUUUAUGCCCUAAUACAUGAUUGAUCUUUGUGAAUGUACCAUGUGCUGCUGGAAAGGUGUAUUCCUUUUCUGUCCCUAUUAAUUUUUCUCUACAUAUCUACUAUCUCUAAUUUUUCUAAGAUUUCAUUCACUUCUCUAACCUCUUUCUUAUUUAUUUUUUGGUUUGAUUUAUCUAGUUCUUUUAGAGGAAGGUUCAGGUCUCCCACUAGUAUAGUUUUUCUAACUAUUUCAUCCUUGAGCUCCACUAGUUUCUCCUUUAGAAAUUUGGAUGCUAUGCCAUUUGGUGCAUACAUGUUGAAUACUGAUAUUUCCUCAUUGUCUAUACUGCCUUUUAUCAGGUUCCCUAUCUCUUUUGACUAGAUAUUUUUACAUUUGCUUUGUCAGAUAUCAUGAUUGCAACUCCUGUCUUCUUUUUAUCAGUUGAUACCCAAUAGAUUUGGCUCCAUCCUCUUACUUUUACCCUAUGUGUGUCAACCUUCCUCAUGUGUGUUUCUUGUAGACAGCAUAUGAUAGGGUUUUGGUUUCUAAUCCACUCUAUUUGCUUGCGUUUUUGGGUGAGUUCAUUCCAUUCAUAUUCAGAGUUAUGAUUACCAGCUGUGUAUUUCCCAGUAUUUUGAUUUCCACUCCUAGUCCUGCCCUUUCUUCUUUCACUAUUUCUUUCUACACCAGUUUUUUGUUUUUAUUCAGUCCCCCUAAUACCCACCCUAGUUUUACUUGCCUUUAUACCCCCUCCCUUCUUAUUCCCCUCUUAUUUUCUUUACAGUCUUUUUAAACUACCCCUACCCUCUCCUUCCCUUCUAAUGAUUCCUUCCCCACCAGUUUGUUUGUUACCCUUCUACUUCCCUAUAGGGCACAAAUCAAUUCUCUGCCUCAAUGUAUUUGAUUGUUCUUCCCUCUUUGAGUCAAUUUCAAAGCACAUAAGAAUUGAGUAUUUUAUGUCUUGGCAUUUCAUCCUAUACAGUUUGUCACUAUUCCCUCUAAGUAUAAUUCUUCUAGUUACCAAGAUGAUAAUAACAAUUUUUAAGAGUUACCAAUAUCCUCUUUUUUUGUAGGGAUACAUACCAUUUUAACUCAUUGGGUCCCUUAAGAAAAGGGUUUUUUUGUUUGUUUAGUUUUGUUUUUAUUUUUUCCCCAUUUCUUAAUUACCUUUUGAUGAUUCUCUUGAGUUCUGUGUUUGGGCAUCAAAUUUUCUAUUCAGGUUUGGUCUUUUCUUUACAAAUACUUGGAAUUCUUCUAUCUUAUUAAAUGACUAUACUUUCCCCAAAUAUCUAUAAUAUGGAAAGAGGUCUUGAUCAUUGACACAUGUAAAACCCCUUGGGAUUGUGUGUUUGCUAUGGGAGUAGGGGAGAGGAGGGAAUUUAAUAAAACAUGAAUCUUGUAAACUUGAAAAAAUGUUCAAAAUAAAAAUUAGAAAAAGAAAGAACCUCACCCCCACACACACACACACACAUACACAAAGAAGAGUAGAAAGGGAUAGAGAAGUAGAGGCAUGCCUCUUGGAUUGGAGAAUAUAAUAGUUAAAAGAGUCUAAAUGGAGAAAAGGAUAAGAAAGGGACAAGCAGAGAGUAUCACUCAUAGAAUCAUGUUAUAGAAUUGGAAUUACUAGGAAGACUAAAUCCCAAGGAAAUGAGAGAGGGCUGAAGCAAAAGUUUGAGUGUUGUUUUCAUACAUAUUUGUGUUGGGAGACAGGAGGGAAACAGACUAGAUUCUCUCUGUGUCACUUUGCAUUGAGUUCAUUAAGAUAUCCAAGUCAUUUCUAAUUUACUGUUAUAACUUGAAAGUCACCAUGCCAAAGUCACGAAGCUCUUCUGAUGUUCUGCUCCUAUGGAGCUGAUGGUUCCUGACUGGAUUGCAUCUGUAAUUUAGACAUCAGAGGAUUAUAGACCUUGACCAGCACUACCUCAAGAGUUUCUCCUAAUUUGGCACACAUCACUAGGAUGUGAAUGAUAACAAAUAUGUGAUAAGAUUUGUAAAUUGUUCUCCUUUGAUAUUUGGCAUGAUUUUAGGUAACUUCCAAGUUCCCCUUGUAAUUUUAUUCCCUGUUAAUACAUUCAUAUUGAUCAGGAGAGGGAGAGGCUAGUGGGACCAGAAAGAGACAAAAUUUUAAGACAAUCCAUACCCUGGUCUUCUGUCCACCAUCAUGCACCACCAUGUCUAGAUAGUAAUCUAACCAAAACCAUAGCAAAAAGAACAACAUAUAAAACAUGACAGAAGAGUGUAGGCCAACUAUCACCUAUCUAGUGUACUGGGUUCUACGUCUGAGUGCAGAAAAACUUUGAAAUGCUGGGACCCUACCUAAGUCAACAGGAGAGCACCCCAUGCCUAAAUAAACCUUGAAGUCCCUGGCUCUGACACAUCCCUGCAGUGAGGUCCCCAGAUCUCUGACAUUUGGCCUAUUUAAGCCUGUGGUGAGGCUCCUGGAUCCAGGGCAAAGCAGUUUACACGAAUCUGAGCUUUUCAAGUCAUCAGCAGUACUGAGAGGAGACAGAAUCAGCAGCUUUUAGAGCUCUCAGCCCAUAGGCCAUCAUCACCAUUGUGAAUUUUAAAAACUAUUCCACCCUAAUCAGACCAUUCUUUAGAAGAUCUGAUUUAGCUAUUUCCUGAUCAAUAACUAUAGAGAUACUUGGAAUAACAGAAUCAGGUCUUGGAAACUACAUUCUUCACCCUUCUUAGUUUAACAAGAUUAAGAAGGUCUACAUCAAACUCAAGAUUUAAUUAUCCAAGAAAAUGGCCUUCAACAGACAUGUGAAAACAAAGGAUAGACCUCUGGGCUGUCCUAAGUCAAGAUUGAGCCACCAUUGGCACAUGUGAGAUGCAGGAAGUGAGGUAGAAAACAAUCUCUGGAGUUCUCAUGACUUCCUGUGGAGAGGGCUAGACGCCAGUUCGAUCCUGGAGCUCAAGCUUGGAGGAGCCCCACAGACAGCUUUCCUUCAGAUCAGUCAUGUGAGUGAUAAGGACUGACUCCCUUCUCUGCCUUGGCUCUCCGGGGCCUUAAACUCCUUUCCUUCUCUCCCUCUCUCUCUCCCUCUAAUAUUUUCUUCCUCCUGUUGUAAUUAAAUCAGCAUAAAAUUUCCAGCUGAGUUUGUGUGUUUCAUUAGGAUUUUAUAAAUAUAAUCCUUGGUGGUCAAAUAUAAUUAUUACAUUCAGUCUCAACCAUAAUUUUAACCCUUACACCAUGGAAGUAGUGAAAGUUGCAAUAACUUCAAACUAGAGCUGAAGAGAAAAUUGCAGUUUAAUAGAAUGCCCCUCUAAUCUGAAAAGAGAUCCCACCUUUAAGAUAUAAUUCUAAAAUACAUAUUUUAAGACUGGUAAAAUGAGCCCGCUGCAAAAGAAACACCUAACCACAGAAAAUAACUAAGGGAAAAAAGAAGAGCAAGGCAUAGACUCAGUAGGAGACAGUGAGAAAAAGCAGCCACAUACAUAACAACAAAGAAAAAUAGAAAUUGGUCUCAGGUGCUGAAAGUGCUUAAAAAGGAUUUCAACAAUUGUGUAAUUACAAUUUGAACCCUAGAACUACUAUUCUCAGCACCCCACCUUCCUUACCACUUUACAUGCUGAUAUAGGGAGGAUAUAAAUUUUGUGUGACACUGCCUCUUGAGCUCUUCCUGUGAUUGUGUUUUACUUGAGGUGGUAUGAGGUGAGCAGGUAGUAUACCCUCUAUCCAUCAGUACUGAGUAUAUACUUUUAGGGGCAGAAAUGGUCAUUUAAUAAAAUAGAAGACUCCUUUAAUAAUAAUAAUAAUAUAGCACAAUAUGAUAUAGCAUAAUAAUAAUAAAGCAUUCCUGAUGAAAAAACCAGACCUAAACAGAUAAUUUGAUGUCUAAAUAAAAGUUCAAAAACAAGUAUAAAAAGGUAAAUAAGAAAAAAGAAAAUUUAAGGGAUUCAGUAAGUUCAAAUUGUCUAUAUCUAUCUAAAGAUUAUAUUUGCAACUUUAAAAUUUCAUCAUUAUUGUAGUAGUUAGAUGCAUACAGAGGAUGUUGGAGUAAGCUAUUUAGGAUAACAGUAAAAAAAAUCAAGGGGUGAAAAAAAAGAUUUCACUGAUAGAAAAGGGAAGAGAGAGGUAAAAUGGGGUAAAUUAUUUCACCAAAAGAGGCAUGAAAAAAUAAAGCAACUACAGUGGAGGUGAGGAUGAGGGUAGUGACAGACAAUGCUUAUUAUGAUCAGUAUUGGUUUUAGAGAGGGAAUAAUAAUCAGACUCGUUGGGGUAUAGAGUCCUAUCUUAACAUAAUGAGAAGUAGACGACAACGUGAAAAGGGGGUGGUGAGGAGGGGUGCAAUAUAAAGGAUAGGGAAUGGAGAAGGUGAUUAAAAGCAAAACACUUGUGGAAAGACAGUGCAAAAGGAGAAACAAGAUUAAAUUGGUAAAACAAGAUGAAGGGGAAUACACAGAUGCCAAUCAUAACUGAAUGUAGAUGGGAUAAACUCACCCUUAAAAUGGAAGCUGAUAGCAGAGUGGAUUAAAAACCAGAAUCUUAUGAUAUGCUGUUUCCAAGAAACAUAUGAGUCAGAUAGACAAACACAGAAUAAAGGUAAGGGGAUGGAGGAGAAUGUAUUAGGCUUCAACUGAGAUUUAUAAAAAUCAGGAGUGGCAAUCAUGAUCUCAGACAAAAGUAAAGGAAAAAUAGAUCUAAUUAAAUGACACAAGGAAGGUUGAUAUGUCUUGAUAAAGCAUACUAUAUACAAUAUGGUAAUAUCAAUACUUAACAUAUGCAUCACAUAAUAUAGCCUUCAAAUUCUUAACAGAGAAACAAAAGAGCUUAAGGAAGAAAUAGACAGUAAAACUGUACUAGUAGAAGACCUCAACCUUCCCCUCUCAGGAUUAAAUAUAAUUAAAAAAUAAAUAAGAAGUAAAAGAAGUGAAUAAAUUCUAGAAAAAGUGAGAUUUAAUAGCUCUCUGGAGAAAAUGAAUAGGGUUAAAAAAGAAUGACUCCCUUUCAGUGGCACAUAGUACAUAUUUGAAAAUUGACCAUAUUCUAGGGCAAAAAAGGCAUAACCAAAUGCAAAAAAGCAGAAAUAAUAAAUGCAUCCUGUUCAGAUCAUAUUGCAAUAAAAUUUAUAAUCCAUAAUAAUUCAUGGAAAGACAAAUUAAUUAGAGAUUAAAUAAUCUAAUUCUUCAUACAGGGUGGGUCAAAGAACAAAUUUUAGAAACAAUGAUUUCACUAAAGAGAAUGACAAUGAGACAAAAUAUCAAAAUUUAUGGGAUAUAAUCAAAUCAAUAUUUUUGAGAAAUUUUUAUAUUAUUUAUAUCAAGGAAAAAGAGUAAAAGGCAAUCAAUGUUUUGGACAAACAACUUUUAAAAAACCUAGAAAAAGAACAAAUUGGCAAUCUCCAAAUAAAGACUAAAUUUAAAAUCCUAAAUUUAAAAAAAAAGGAAAAAUUAGCACAAUUAAAAGUAUGAGAACUAUUGAACUAGUAAAUAAGACAAAGAAUUGAUUUUAUGAGGAAGAAUAAAAUAUAGAUAGAAUAUUGGUUAAUUUCA